rnacentral:rRNA from 1 species
UGGGGAAUUUUGGACAAUGGGGGAAACCCUGAUCCAGCCAUCCCGCGUGUGCGAUGAAGGCCUUCGGGUUGUAAAGCACUUUUGUCAGGAAAGAAACGUCAUGGGUUAAUACCCCGUGAAACUGACGGUACCUGCAGACUAAGCACCGGCUAACUACGUGCCAGCAGCCGCGGUAAUACGUAGGGUGCAAGCGUUAAUCGGAAUUACUGGGCGUAAAGCGUGCGCAGGCGGUUCGGAAAGAAAGAUGUGAAAUCCCAGAGCUCAACUUUGGAACUGCAUUUUUAACUGUCGGGCUAGAGUGUGUCAGAGGGAGGUGGAAUCCCGCGUGUAGCAGUGAAAUGCGUAGAUAUGCGGAGGAACACCGAGGGCGAAGGCAGCCGCCUGGGAUAACACUGACGCUCAUGCACGAAAGCGUGGGGAGCAAACAGG